ACGGAGGGGGCGAGCGUUGUCCGAAUUCAUUGGGCGUAAAGCGCGUGUAGGCGGAUCUUAAAGCCUGGGGUGAAAUCCGGAAGCUCAACUUCCGAACUGCCCUGGGGACUUAGGGUCUGGAGGGAGGCAGAGGAGUGUGGAAUUCCUGGUGUAGCGGUGGAAUGCGUAGAGAUCAGGAAGAACACCCAUGGCGAAGGCAGCACUCUGGGCCUCUCCUGACGCUGAGACGCGAAAGCGCGGGGAGCGAACGGGA
rnacentral:rRNA from 1 species